UACGUAGGGGGCAAGCGUUAUCCGGAUUUACUGGGUGUAAAGGGUGCGUAGGUGGCAGGGCAAGUCAGAUGUGAAAGCCCGGGGCCCAACCCCGGUACUGCAUUUGAAACUGUCCGGCUGGAGUGCAGGAGAGGUAAGCGGAAUUCCUAGUGUAGCGGUGAAAUGCGUAGAUAUAAGGAAGAACACCAGUGGCGAAGGCGGAUGACUGGACGGCAACUGACGGUGAGGCGCGAAAGCGUGGGGAGCAAACAGG
rnacentral:rRNA from 1 species